CCUAAGGUAGCGAAAUUCCUUGUCAGGUAAGUUCUGACCCGCACGAAUGGCGUAAUGAUCUGGGCACUGUCUCGACAGCCCACCCGGCGAAAUUGUAGUACUGGUGAAGAUGCCAGUUACCCGCAACUAGACGGAAAGACCCCAUGGAGCUUUACUGCAGCUUAAUACUGGAAUUCGGUAACCCAUGUACAGGAUAGGUGGGAGGCUUGGAAGCAGGGGCGUCAGCUCUUGUGGAGCCGCCGGUGGGAUACCACUCUUGGAUUGCUGAAUUUCUAACCUGCGGCCGUGAAUCCGGUCGGGGGACACUGUUAGGCGGGCAGUUUGACUGGGGCGGUCGCCUCCAAAAAGGUAACGGAGGCGCUCAAAGGUUCGUUCAGCACGGACGGAAAUCGUGCAUUGAGUGUAAACGCAUAAACGAGCCUAACUGCGAGACCGACGGGUCGAGCAGUAACGAAAGUUGGAGUUAGUGAUCCGGUGGUAUGUGAGUGGAAAUGCCAUCGCUCAACGGAUAAAAGCUACCCUGGGGAUAACAGGCUGAUCUCCCCCAAGCGUCCACAGCGACGGGGAGGUUUGGCACCUCGAUGUCGGCUCGUCGCAUCCUGGGGCUGAAUUCGGUCCCAAGGGUUUGGCUGUUCGCCAAUUAAAGCGGCACGCGAGCUGGGUUCAGAACGUCGUGAGACAGUUCGGUCCCUAUCUGUUGCGGGCGUAAGAGAUUUGAAGGGAGCUGUCCUUAGUACGAGAGGACCGGGAUGGACGUACCUCUGGUGCACCAGUUGUCCUGCCAAGGGCAUAGCUGGGUAGCUAUGUACGGACGAGAUAAACGCUGAAAGCAUCUAAGCGUGAAACUCCCCCUAAGAUGAGAUCUCUCAUUCGAAAGAAGUAAGGACCCAGAGAGACGAUCUGGUUGAUAGGCGCGAGGUGGAAGUGCAGUAAUGUAUGGAGCUGACGCGUACUAAUAGUCCGAGGGCUUGACCUA
rnacentral:rRNA from 1 species